rnacentral:rRNA from 1 species
GACGAACGCUGGCGGCGUGCUUAACACAUGCAAGUCGAACGGAAAGGCCCUUCGGGGUACUCGAGUGGCGAACGGGUGAGUAACACGUGGGUGAUCUGCCCUGCACUUUGGGAUAAGCCUGGGAAACUGGGUCUAAUACCGAAUAGGACCACGCGCUUCAUGGUGUGUGGUGGAAAGCUUUUGCGGUGUGGGAUGGGCCCGCGGCCUAUCAGCUUGUUGGUGGGGUAAUGGCCUUCCAAGGCGACGACGGGUAGCCGGCCUGAGAGGGUGACCGGCCACACUGGGACUGAGAUACGGCCCAGACUCCUACGGGAGGCAGCAGUGGGGAAUAUUGCACAAUGGGCGCAAGCCUGAUGCAGCGACGCCGCGUGAGGGAUGACAGCCUUCGGGUUGUAAACCUCUUUCAAUAGGGACGAAGCGCAAGUGACGGUACCUAUAGAAGAAGCACCGGCCAACUACGUG